GCAGUCGAUGAAGGUCGCAGCUAUAAAGCCAUAGAAAUAUAUUGGUACACAUUAUCUCUAUGCAGCUAGCUGGUCCGUGCUUGUGCUUACCAGAACGCGGAAGUGACUUUCACAUUGAACAAUGAUAGGCCAAUCAAUCAAUCGGGGAGUAGGAUGACGUCAUGCCGCGCCAGUUUGUGGUGGUACGUGUGUCGUUUUGUAUUCGUUGUUUGUUUAUUUCGCAAUAAUCGUUGGGGCGACGAAACUGGUACUGGUAUAUAGACUAUAUAUAGGGCGUAUACGACGGUUUAUACACGGCAAAGCGCAUUCACAGCUAGCUAGCCAGCGCCACCAUUAGUCACGAGUUUGAUGGAGGAGAAGCAACGCUACUCACUGCACUAGCUCUCUCAACCAGAUUUUGCUACUAGUUUUAUCACUCGUUAACAAGCUACGGUACCGGUACAGCAUUUAACUUAAACGUCAGACCGCUCUUUUAUUUACCGUUAAUUUUAGCAGGGUUAGAAAAUAGACUGCAAAAGUUAGAUUCCAACGCCAACGUUUUAGAAUCUACCCAACAAUUUCAAAAAUUGUUCAGCUUCAUGAAAUACAGCAACUAUUUCUCGGUGAUGAUGGAAGUUUUGCCCGCAGAAACAGAUGUUCCCAACAGUGCCAGUAUUCCUUUCUCACCGUGGAUGAUGGAGAACCAAGUUAAAGUUUUGAAAAAUGAUAUAAAAUUGAAGAAGCGUUUCAGGGGGAAACGCAAACCAAAGAGGAAGGAGAAUCGUCGGAGAGCAAGACCAGGAAAGUCACGAAGUGGUUUUCUGACAAUUGGUGCACCUUUCAACAAUAAUGAAUUUUUAAUUAACCAGAGAGAUGCCACAUUAGCAACCACCAGUCUGGGCUCAGAAGAAGGUCUCGUGGCCAAGAAUUGUGGACAAUGCUCUUCUCCACAUAGCACAAGUAGUAGUGGGGGUUCCGAAAGUACGUCCGACUAUGAAAGCCUUCAUUCACCUUCUGCAUCUAGUAGCAGCAGCGGAUGUAGCAUUGAAGCCGAAUAUCCCCAAGAUGACAAGAUAAAUGAUGAAAUGUUUGACAUUGAUUUUGCCCUGCAGAACUUUGAAGCUGAUUACUCCGCUCAUCAAUGGGAGCUGAAAACACAGUUGAUGACACUGCCAAGACAGCAGCUGGAAAGCAGAUGUUCACUUCUGAUGGACCAAGUGAAAGAUUUAGAAGAGAGGAUCGAAAAGAGGGAGGUAGUGCAUGUCCAGGAAUUGGAACUUGAAUUAGAAGCUCUGAGGAAGGAGAACAGAAGAUUAAAAAGGGUAUCUGCAGACAGUUCAACACCAGAAUGAAACAUCACAAGAGUGAUUUCAACAAGGAGGAAACAAUCCAGUCAAGAUUGGGAUUGAUGUGUGGCCUUUGAGUCUGACGCUCCUUUGGUUACAUCGUUGAGUGGAUGCAUGACGAUCAUCCAAGUUAACCCUGAAGUUUUCGACUGCACGCACCAACAUGACAUUAUUAAAAGGAAUUUCAGAGGUAAGGAGAUUACCAUCAAGGACACCAAAUAGCAGACGGGAUCGAUACCGCAUCAACAGCUCCUCAACAAUUUGCUCUCACCAAGAUCAUGGCCUGCAGAGAGUGAGUGACAUCACACCACUGAAGUUGGGCAACACUCUGGGAUGGUAUCAUGGUAUAAUUGCAUGUUCUUUUUAUGCCAUUUAUCCCAUUUCCCUUACACUCUAAAAAACAAAGAGUUUAAUUUAGCUCUUAAAGAGCGUGUAUAGUGACUGCACUUCGGAGUAAUGAUUUGUCUAGUUCAAAUUUGAACGAGAAAAAUCAGCACUCCGAAGUGCAGUCACUAUACACGCUCUUUAAGGGCUAAAUUGGCUCUUCGUAGCACUUCAUUUGUUAGAGUGUAGGGUUUUGUUUAAAAUUAAGUAAAUCAUGAUUGGCAUUGCCUUGGGAAACCAUAGGAUCAACGGAGGCAUAUCCCUACAUGUAUUUCAUAAUAUUAAUCUGAUUGUAUUUUUUUUUUUUGCAUGGAUACUGUCAGUCUCAAAUUAAUACUCUUUAUGGCUAAAACCACAGGAAAUCCAUCCCAAUCCCGGAAUGCUAACAACUAAUUUAAUAAAAUGGUGUUCAUUGUCCUGUUACUGUAAGAAGUAAUUAGAAAGGGUUUAUUUAGUUGAAUUCCUGAUUAAUGUUCAAACAAUAUUAUUGGAUGUCAUUUUUUUAAUCAAGUUUUAAUCAAAGUGUUCAUUGUCCUGUUACUGUAAGAAGUAAUUAGAAAGGGUUUAUUUAGUUGAAUUCCUGAUUAAUGUUCAAACAAUAUUAUUGGAUGUCAUUUUUUUUAUCAAGUACAACAAGAUGAAAUAAACUAUGGCAGAAUCUCUGAACAAGUGUAUGUCCAUAUGUUUCUUUUCAUUAUAUUUUUUUAAAUGUUCAUACAGGUGUAGUCCCUGAAAAAAAUGUAUACUAAAUUUUUCCUGUCCAUAUGUUAUUUUCCAAAAAAUGUUUAUUAGUAUUCCCUGAAUAAUUCAAUAUCCACAUGUUCCUAUUUAUUAUGUUAUUUAAAUUUUUUCAUUGAUAAAUUGUUGAGAUAUUAAAACGUAUUAAAUAAUAA